AAAUUGAAGAGUUUGAUCAUGGCUCAGAUUGAACGCUGGCGGCAGGCCUAACACAUGCAAGUCGAACGGUAACAGGAAGCAGCUUGCUGCUUUGCUGACGAGUGGCGGACGGGUGAGUAAUGUCUGGGAAACUGCCUGAUGGAGGGGGAUAACUACUGGAAACGGUGGCUAAUACCGCAUAACGUCGCAAGACCAAAGAGGGGGACCUUCGGGCCUCUUGCCAUCAGAUGUGCCCAGAUGGGAUUAGCUWGUUGGUGAGGUAACGGCUCACCAAGGCGACGAUCCCUAGCUGGUCUGAGAGGAUGACCAGCCACACUGGAACUGAGA
rnacentral:rRNA from 1 species